rnacentral:rRNA from 1 species
UACAGAGGUGGCAAGCGUUGCUCGGAAUGACUGGGCGUAAAGGGCGCGUAGGCGGUUUGUACAGUCAGAUGUGAAAUUCCUGGGCUUAACCUGGGGGCUGCAUUUGAUACGUGCAGACUUGAGUGAGGAAGAGGGUUGUGGAAUUCCUAGUGUAGAGGUGAAAUUCGUAGAUAUUAGGAAGAACACCGGUGGCGAAGGCGGCCCACUGGAUCGGUACUGACGCUGAGGUGCGAAAGCGUGGGGAGCAAACAGG